rnacentral:rRNA from 1 species
GACGAACGCUGGCGGCGUGCUUAACACAUGCAAGUCGAACGAUGAAGCUAGAGCUUGCUCUGGUGGAUUAGUGGCGAACGGGUGAGUAACACGUGAGUAACCUGCCCCGAACUCUGGGAUAACUGCUUGAAACGGUAGCUAAUACCGGAUAUGACCAAUGAAAGCCUCUUCUGUUGGUGAAAGUAUUUCGGUUCGGGAUGGACGCGCGGCCUAGCAGCAUGUUGGAGGGGUAACGGCUCACCAAGGCGACGACGGGUAGCCGGCCUGAGAGGGUGAUCGGCCACACUGGGACUGAGACACGGCCCAGACUCCUACGGGAGGCAGCAGUGGGGAAUAUUGCACAAUGGGCGCAAGCCUGAUGCAGCAACGCCGCGUGAGGGACGACGGCCUUCGGGUUGUAAACCUCUUUUAGUAGGGAAGAAGCGAAAGUGACGGUACCUGCAGAAAAAGCACCGGCUAACUACGUGCCAGCCGCCGCAGUAA